rnacentral:tRNA from 1 species
GAUUUUAUAGUCAAUUAUGAUUUUAAAUUGCAAAUUUAAAGGUGAAUAUUUCUAAAGUCU